UUCGCAAUGCCCGAAAGGGUGACGAAGCGACGCCGCGUGGGUGAGGAAGGCCUUCGGGUUGUAAAGCCCUGUCAGGAGUUAAGAAAUGUAAGUGCGCUAAUAUCGCAUUUAUUUGACGAAGGCUCCAAAGGAAGUCACGGCUAACUCUGUGCCAGCAGCCGCGGUAAUACAGAGGUGGCAAGCGUUGUUCGGAAUUAUUGGGCGUAAAGAGCACGUAGGUGGGUUUGUAAGUCAGAUGUGAAGGCCUUCUGUUCAACGGAAGAAUUGCAUCUGAAACUGCGAGUCUUGAGUGUAGGAGGGGAGAAUGGAACUUCUGGUGGAGCGGUGAAAUGCGUAGAUAUCAGAAGGAACGCCGGCGGCGAAAGCGAUUCUCUGGCCUAUUACUGACACUCAGUGUGCGAAAGCUAGGGGAGCAAACGGGAUUAGAUACCCCGGUAGUCCUAGCCGUAAACGAUGGGCACUAAGUAGAGGGGUUUU
rnacentral:rRNA from 1 species